rnacentral:rRNA from 1 species
UACGGAGGGUGCGAGCGUUAAUCGGAAUUACUGGGCGUAAAGGGUGCGUAGGUGGUAUGCUAAGUUAUGUGUAAAAUCCCCAGGCUUAACCUGGGACGGUCAGAUAAUACUGGUAUACUAGAGUAUGGGAGAGGGUAGUGGAAUUUCCGGUGUAGCGGUGAAAUGCGUAGAGAUCGGAAGGAACACCAGUGGCGAAGGCGGCUACCUGGCCUAAUACUGACACUGAGGCACGAAAGCGUGGGGAGCAAACAGG